rnacentral:tRNA from 1 species
GACGGUUAAAAUCCUUCCUUUACCA